rnacentral:tRNA from 1 species
GCCCGGCUAGCUCAGUCGGUAGAGCAUGAGACUCUUAAUCUCAGGGUCGUGGGUUCUAGCUCAGUCAGUAGAGCAUGAGACUCUUAAUCUCAGGGUCGUGGGUUCGUGCCCCACGUUGGGCG